GAUGAACGCUGGCGGCGUGCUUAACACAUGCAAGUCGAACGGUGAAGGCGGAGCUUGCUCUGCUGGAUCAGUGGCGAACGGGUGAGUAACACGUGAGCAAUCUGCCCCUGACUCUGGGAUAAGCGCUGGAAACGGCGUCUAAUACUGGAUACGAGCUGCGAAGGCAUCUUCAGCAGCUGUGAAGAACUUCGGUCAGGGAUGAGCUCGCGGCCUAUCAGCUUGUUGGUGAGGUAACGGCUCACCAAGGCGUCGACGGGUAGCCGGCCUGAGAGGGUGACCGGCGACACUGGGACUGAGACACGGCCCAGACUCCUACGGGAGGCAGCAGUGGGGAAUAUUGCACAAUGGGCGAAAGCCUGAUGCAGCAACGCCGCGUGAGGGAAGACGGGCUGCGGGUUGUAAACCUAUUUUAGCAGGGAAGAAGAGAAAGUGACGGUACCUGCAGAAAAAGCGCCGGCUAACUACGUG
rnacentral:rRNA from 1 species